AUUUAUGGAUGGUUAAAUGGUCAUAGCUUAUUAAGUACAACAUGACCGUUUAUUUAGUGACUAUAACUGUGCGAAACUGAUUUAAGGCUUGGUGUAUAUAUAAAUAUUGUGUUGUAAUUGUCGAGAUAUUUGGAGAUAUUUAUUUAUUGUGGAAAUUCUGCAUUGAACUGGGGUUUAACGUCCUACCUUUUCAGCCCCAACCUUUAAAUUCGGAGAUAUACCGCUCUCAACUUCAGUGUAUAUGUACGAUUAAAUUUUAAAAAGAAAAAAACAACAAACAAAAACAUAUCGACCGCACAUGUUCUCUCAUGCAUGAACUGUUAUUGGAGUUAUUGGCUAUGAGUUAGACGUGAUAAAGCAAAAUGUAUAUAUAGGUUAACCAGAUAUAUAACUAUAUACAUCGUCCAUAAAAGGUGUAUUACUCCUAGAGUAACUCGGACAUUUUUAUUUACAUCUAGAAAGAAGACGACUAGGAUUAGUAACCAGUUAUCGAGGGAACGAACUUUAGAAGCUUCCAAAAUGGGAUUCUGUGAGAAACCACUGACUGCAAAAAUUGGAACUGUUCUUUUAACCAUUUCGUAUUUAGUUUCUUUAACUGGCACCUCAUCACCAUCAUGGUUUAAAUCUGGAGACAUGACUUAUGGACUUUGGACGGAUUGUCAAGGACCCGGAGAAUUUCAGAAUUGCGGUUCGAACGAUUUAGCUUCUAAACAAGAUUGGUUUUAUGCUGUCCUGAGUUUAGCAACAAUUGGAGCUGUCUGUCUGAUUGUUGCAAAUGUCGUAGGCUUUUUCUCUUCCAAUCGAAUGAUUCCCGCUGUAUUUGGUAUAUUAGGAGGGUUGCUGCUUUUAAUAUCUGUUGUGAUUUACGGAGUGAAGCAGAAUGAACUUAAUGGAUCACUUUACUGGGCUUUCUACUUAACCGCAAUAGCCGGAUUUCUUGGUUUUAUAGGCGCAUUGCUUUUAAUACCAGGUCAAAACAAAAGUAACGUUUCAGGCUAAUGUACAUGUAUAUCUACUGACGUGUUAGCAGGACCUUCAAAUGCUUGGCGAUAUAUCCAUUCCAGGUAUACAUAUUGGCAGUGCUGUAUUUGAGACAAAAUUUUCUUUCAUGUCACUUGCUGUCCUUGUAAAUAACGACUUGGUAAAGAGAGCUCGCCAUUAGAUAUCGAAUUUUAAUGGGGAUAAUAUAUGGUUAUUAUUUAAUUUUGUUCCCCGAUGUUAUUGUUAUUAUUUAUUUAGUUUAAGUAUUGAUUUGAAAUAAACUAAAUAAAUAAUAUAUUUAUUUAAAUAAUAUAUUAAAAUGACCUGACGAUUCGUUUGAUAACGGUGAAGGUACUAGCCAAAAAUUCAAUUUUUAGCAUUUUUUUCUCUAAUAUUUGCUCAUAGGCAUAACCUUUUCAAAUCAAUACUUAAACUAAAUAAAUAAAUAUAAAAAUUUAUUUUAAUAUAUAUCUUUUUUUGUUUGGUAUUUAUUUUACUGUAUAUACAAACUUGUAAAUGAAAUGUAAUACCAUUUUUCUUCUUAAUACGAUAUCAUCAAAUUUGACUUAUACUAAAUCAUUUAAUAGUUUGUGUAAAUGUGCUAUUUGACCAAGAAUAGUUUUCCAAAUGAGAAACAAGUCGUCCAAAUAUCUUUUUAAUUUCUCUUUGAUGUAGUUUCUAGUAAUACCAAAUCUGUUUUUAGUUAUUUUAUAUAAUUUUUCUUCUAAAAAUCCCAUUGCAAGGUUACUAAAAUACACACAAGGAACCUGUUUUAUAUAUUGAUAUGCAUAAAGAACUUUGUGUUUGUGUAUUAUAUACAUUGUCAUAAAGAAUGUGUUGUAUAUACAUAUAUACAUAAAUAACUUUGUUUUAUAUUAUUUAUGUAUAUAAAUAACUCGGUUUUAUAUAUGUAAUACGUUAUAUUUUUAUAUACAUGUACAUAACAACAGAUUUUAAAACUAAUGAGAAUGUGAUAUGUUUGUUUUCUGGUUUGUAAUAUUUUCUAAAACAAAUCAUAAAUUUAACCUCAGUUAUUAAAGGAGACGUCUCAAUUUUCAUUAGGGCUCCGGGAACAAUGUUCGUUAUAAUAUACAAAUCAAACGUGAAAAAUAUGAAGAAUCUAAAAGAUUUGAAUAUUGGGCUCUUUGGAAAUAAUCGCCAAAACAGUUUAUAAGGGAUGGGGAUACGGUAACUCUUUUAUAGCGUCCGCCUACAAUUGUUGAUUGGGUGACUACCGGAUAAUAUACACUGUUAAAA